rnacentral:rRNA from 1 species
CUCCUACGGGGCGCAGCAGUGAGGAAUAUUGGUCAAUGGCCGGAAGGCUGAACCAGCCAAGUCGCGUGAGGGAAUAAGGCCCUAUGGGUCGUAAACCUCUUUUGUCAGGGAGCAAAGGCGUCCACGAGUGGACGAAAGGAGAGUACCUGAAGAAAAAGCAUCGGCUAACUCCGUGCCAGCAGCCGCGGUAAUACGGAGGAUGCGAGCGUUAUCCGGAAUUACUGGGUGUAAAGGGAGCGCAGGCGGGAAGCCAAGUCAGCUGUGAAAACUACGGGCUUAACUUGUAGACUGCAGUUGAAACUGGU